rnacentral:lncRNA from 1 species
GGUGCAGCGGUACACCGAACGCUCUGGAAACCUGUAUCAAUGGCUGCUAUCCGGUGCAUGCUCACUGCCUUGUACAUUGCUAUCGGUGUCCUACCUCAAGUGCACGCCCUGAAUACUGGACAGUUGCAAUGUCACCGCCCUGUUAUUGAUGGCAGGGUGACCGCUUGCACUUAUCCGUGUGCCAUGACUUCUGCAAUAACAGAUCAACAUGUUUUCUUUCUUCAUGAGCCAAAUUGGACGCCAUGCAUGUAUGGCUAUUGCUUCGAUGGACACUGCCACACAGAAGAGAAUCAUCAUGCAUUGAAGCGCAAAAAGCGGUCACUCAAGCCAUUCUUCGCAGGAUUGUAUUUAGGAAGACGCUGGGGAGAAGCACGAGCGAGACGACUUUAUAGGUUCCAUAGAAUCUUUGGCAGGCGUUAAUUCAGUGGCGCAAUCAGAUGACAAUGGCUGAAAAUGUUUGUCUGGCGUCAAAGGUCUUCAACAGCUGCAAGAGUCAUUUGGUACACUUGGAGCCGUGGAUUUAGUCAGUCAUG